rnacentral:rRNA from 1 species
GAUGAACGCUAGCGGCAGGCUUAACACAUGCAAGUCGAGGGGCAGCAUGAAUGUAGCGAUACAUUUGAUGGCGACCGGCGCACGGGUGCGUAACGCGUAUGCAACCUACCUAUAACAGGGGGAUAAUCCGAAGAAAUUUGGUCUAAUACCCCAUAAUAUCUGAGAAGGCAUCUUUUCAGGUUGAAAGCUCCGACGGUUAUAGAUGGGCAUGCGUUGUAUUAGGUAGUUGGUGAGGUAACGGCUCACCAAGCCGACGAUACAUAGGGGGACUGAGAGGUUAACCCCCCACAUUGGUACUGAGACACGGACCAAACUCCUACGGGAGGCAGCAGUGAGGGAUAUUGCACAAUGGGGGAAACCCUGAUGCAGCAAUGCCGCGUGAGGGAAGACGGUCUUCGGAUUGUAAACCUAAGUUGUCAGGGACGAAACAUGACGGUACCUGAAGAGAAAGCUCCGGCUAACUACGUG